rnacentral:rRNA from 1 species
UACGUAGGGUGCGAGCGUUAAUCGGAAUUACUGGGCGUAAAGCGUGCGCAGGCGGUUUUGGAAGUCAGAUGUGAAAUCCCCGGGCUUAACCUGGGAACUGCGUUUGAAACUACAAGGCUAGAGUGUGGCAGAGGGGGGUGGAACUCCACGUGUAGCAGUGAAAUGCGUAGAGAUGUGGAGGAACACCGAUGGCGAAGGCAGCCCCCUGGGUUAACACUGACGCUCAGGCACGAAAGCGUGGGGAGCAAACAGG